CACGUAGGGGGCGAGCGUUGUCCGGAUUUAUUGGGCGUAAAGAGCUCGUAGGCGGUUUGUCGCGUCUGCCGUGAAAGUCCGGGGCUCAACUCCGGAUCUGCGGUGGGUACGGGCAGACUAGAGUGAUGUAGGGGAGACUGGAAUUCCUGGUGUAGCGGUGAAAUGCGCAGAUAUCAGGAGGAACACCGAUGGCGAAGGCAGGUCUCUGGGCAUUAACUGACGCUGAGGAGCGAAAGCAUGGGGAGCGAACAGG
rnacentral:rRNA from 1 species